ACGGCCAUACACCAUGCUGAAUAUACCGGUUCUCGUUAGAUCACCGAAGUCAAGCAUCAUUAGGUGCGGUCAGUACUUGGGUGGGUGACCACCUGGGAACACCGCGUGCCGUU
rnacentral:rRNA from 1 species